rnacentral:rRNA from 1 species
UUAGGUUAAGAAAUUAAGAGCAUACGGUGGAUGCCUAGACAAUAAGAGCCGAUGAAGGACGUGUUAAGCUGCGAUAAGCCAAGGUUAGCUGCAAUAGAGCGUUUAUCCUUGGAUCUCCGAAUGGGACAACCUAGUUAUUUGAAGAAUAACUGUGAAAACGGGAACCGGGUGAACUGAAACAUCUAAGUAACCCGAGGAAGAGAAAGUAAAAACGAUUCUCCUAGUAGCGGCGAGCGAACGGGGAAAAGCCUAAACCAUAUAAGUGUCAAGGAUGCAGCCGUUGCUUGUAUGGGGUAGUGGGAAGUAUAACAGAAGAACUGCAAGGUAUUCGAUAUAUUUAUUAAGCUACUAGAAUGACAUGGAAAGGUCAACCGUAGAAGGUGAAAGUCCUGUAUAGGGAAUUUAAUAAAUGUAUUUUAUACUCUCCCGAGUAGCACCGAACACGUGAAAUUCGGUGUGAAUCUGCGUGGACCAUAUCACGUAAGGCUAAAUACUCUUAUUGAUCGAUAGCGCAUAGUACCGUGAGGGAAAGGUGAAAAGAACCCCGGGAGGGGAGUGAAAUAGAAUCUGAAACCGUAUGCUUACAAGCGGUCGGAGCACCAUAUGUGUGUGACGGCGUGCCUUUUGGAGAAUGAUCCUGCGAGUUACGAUUAUUGGCAAGGUUAAGAAAACGGAGCCGAAGGGAAACCGAGUCUGAAUAGGGCGUUAAGUCGAUAGUUGUAGACGCGAAACCUGGUGAUCUAUACCUGUCCAGGAUGAAGCUGUGGUAAGACACAGUGGAGGUCCGAACCCACCGUCGUUGAAAAGCCGGGGGAUGAGGUAGGUAUAGGGGUGAAAAGCCAAUCGAACCAGGAGAUAGCUCGUUCUCUCCGAAAUGCAUUUAGGUGCAGCCUUAAGUGUUUAUCUGCGGGGGUAGAGCACUGGAUGACCUAGGGGGCAUACUGCUUACCGAAGUUAACCAACCUCCGAAUACCGUAGAUUUAUAGCUUAGGAGUGAGACUAUGGGUAAUAAGGUCCAUAGUCGAGAGGGAAACAGCCCAGACCACCAGCUAAGGUCCCUAAUUAUAUCUAAGUGGGAAAGGAAGUGAAGACUCCUAAACAACCAGGAUGUUGGCUUAGAAGCAGCCAUUCAUUUAAAGAGUGCGUAAUAGCUCACUGGUCGAGAGUCUUUGCGCCGACAAUGUAACGGGGCUAAGAUAUAAACCGAAGCUGUGGAACGUUUUAAACGUUGGUAGGAGAGCGUUCUGUAGGCCGUUGAAGGUAUACCGUAAGGAGUACUGGAGGUAUCAGAAGUGAGAAUGCAGGAAUGAGUAGCGAGAAAGAGGGUGAGAAACCCUCUCGCCGGAAGUCCAAGGGUUCCAGGGUAAAGCUUGUCUUCCCUGGGGAAGUCGGGACCUAAGCUGAGGCUAAGUAGCGUAGGCGAAUGGAAAGUAGGUUAAUAUUCCUACACCACUUAUAUUUUGUGAUGGAGGGACGCAGGAAGGUAGAUGCGCCAGGCGACGGUUGUCCUGGUACAAGCAUGUAGGAUGGUUUAAUAGGCAAAUCCGUUAAACUAUAUCUGAGGUGUGAUGUGGAAAAGGCAUUGAUCCUACACUGCCAAGAAAAGCUUCUAACGUUAAAAUAUAAGUGCCCGUACCGUAAACCGACACAGGUGGACAGGAUGAGAAAUCUAAGGCGUACAGGCUAACUCUCGCUAAGGAACUCUGCAAAAUGACCCCGUAACUUCGGGAGAAGGGGUGCCUUUUUUGGUGAAGGAAUUUACAUCUGGAGCUAAAAAAGGCCGCAGUGAAGAGGCUCGAGCGACUGUUUAACAAAAACACAGGUCUAUGCUAAGCUGAAAGGCGAUGUAUAUGGGCUGACACCUGCCCAGUGCCGGAAGGUUAAGAGGAGGAGUGAGAGCUCCGAAUUGAAGCCCCGGUGAACGGCGGCCGUAACUAUAACGGUCCUAAGGUAGCGAAAUUCCUUGUCGGGUAAGUUCCGACCUGCACGAAUGGUGUAACGAUUCGAGCGCUGUCUUGGCGGGAGGCCUGGUGAAAUUGUAUUACCGGUGAAGAUACCGGUUACCUGCAGUAGGACGGAAAGACCCCAUGGAGCUUUACUGUAGUUUGGUAUUGGGUUUUGAUGUUAUGUGUAUAGGAUAGUUGGGAGACAUUGAUUACAUGCCGCCAGGUGUGUAUGAGUCGUUGGUGGAAUACCAACCAUAUAACAUUGGAAUUCUAAUCUGAGAUGUGUAGUCUUGGAGACAGUGCUAGGUGGGCAGUUUGACUGGGGCGGUCGCCUCCGAAAGAGUAACGGAGGCGCCCAAAGGUUCCCUCAGGUUGGAUGGAAAUCAACCGCAGAGUGUAAAGGUAUAAGGGAGCUUGACUGUAAGACAGACAUGUCGAGCAGGUGCGAAAGCAGGGCUUAGUGAUCCGGCGGUACCGAAUGGAAGGGCCGUCGCUCAACGGAUAAAAGCUACCCUGGGGAUAACAGGCUGAUCCUGCCCAAGAGUCCAUAUCGACGGCAGGGUUUGGCACCUCGAUGUCGGCUCAUCGCAUCCUGGGGCUGGAGAAGGUCCCAAGGGUUGGGCUGUUCGCCCAUUAAAGCGGUACGUGAGCUGGGUUCAGAACGUCGUGAGACAGUUCGGUCCCUAUCCACUGCAGGCGUAAGAGUAUUGAGAAGAUCUGUCCUUAGUACGAGAGGACCGGGAUGGACAAACCUCUGAUGUACCAGUUGUCACGCCAGUGGCACAGCUGGGUAGUCACGUUUGGAAUGGAUAACCGCUGAAAGCAUCUAAGUGGGAAACCAACUUCGAGAUAAGUACUCUCUGGCAUUAGCCAAUAAGUCACCUUCGAGACUAGGAGGUUGAUAGGCUGGAGGUGUAAGUGUAGUAAUACAUUUAGCUGACCAGUACUAAUUAGACGAACUCUUAUCCU